rnacentral:rRNA from 1 species
CCUACGGGAGGCAGCAGUGGGGAAUAUUGCGCAAUGCGCGAAAGCCUGACGCAGCGACGCCGCGUGAAGGAUGAAUGCCUUCGGGUCGUAAAGCUCUUUCUACAGGGAAGAAAAUGCAGAUAAGUAACCGUUUAUGUAUUGACGGUACCUGUAUAGGCAGCCCCGGCUAACUCCGUGCCAGCAGCCGCGGUAAUACGGAGGGGGCGAGCGUUGUUCGGAUUGACUGGGCGUAAAGCGCACGUAGGCGGUGUUGUAAGUCAUUAGUGAAAGCCUAGCGCUCAACCUUAGAAAUGCUAUUGAUACUAGAAGACUAGAGUAUAGGAGAGGAUGGCGGAAUUCCUGGUGUAGCGGUGAAAUGCGUAGAUAUCAGGAGGAACACCGUUAGCGAAGGCGGCUAUCUGGCUCGAAACUGACGCUGAGGUGCGAAAGCGUGGGUAGCAAACAGGAUUAGAUACCCGAGUAGUC